GCUUGUCUCAAAGAUUAAGCCAUGCACGUCUAAGUAUAAGCGAUUAUACUGUGAAACUGCGAAUGGCUCAUUAUAUCAGUUAUAGUUUAUUUGAUAGUCCUUUACUACUUGGAUAACCGUAGUAAUUCUAGAGCUAAUACAUGCAUCAACUCCCAACUGCUUGUCGGACGGGAUGUAUUUAUUAGAUGGAAACCAAUGCGGGGCAACCCGGUAUAUGGUGAUUCAUAAUAACUUUCGGAUCGAUCUUCGGAUCGAUGCAUCAUUCAAGUUUCUGCCCUAUCAGCUUUGGAUGGUAGGGUAUUGGCCUACCAUGGCUUUAACGGGUAACGGAGAAUUAGGGUUCGAUUCCGGAGAGGGAGCCUGAGAAAUGGCUACCACAUCCAAGGAAGGCAGCAGG
rnacentral:rRNA from 1 species